GCAUGGCCUUUUGUGACCUAACCUCGGAAGUCUGGCAGUGUCAUCCCUCUGUAUUCCAUUUGUUGUAAUAGUCACUAAGGCCAGGCCAGAUUUCAAGGGUGGCACACAGAUGCCACCUCUUAAUGGGGAUGUGUCCAAGAAUUUGUAGACAUAUUUGAAACCACCACAGUUUGGGAGAAAGCAGAGCUUGCUAGUUGUCUAACUACGUUCCAUUUUUACCUUCCUAGUAACAGAAUCCCUAUGUUAUCAGUUAACUCAGAUUUUUUAAAAUCUACUUUUCCUGGCCUCCAUAAAAGAUGUGUGUCCAAUGAGAAGAAAGGAGAAGUCAUUGGAUGAGCCUUUGGGAAAGUUAUUUUAUAAACUUUAAAGAAUCUUCAUAGGAUAGUAUACUCUUCUAGAAAGUGUCUCUUUCCCCUUCUCCUCUUCUUUAUUCUCCCUGCCUGGAAUGCAGAUGAUAGAGUUGGAGCUCCAGUAGCCAUCUUGAGACCAUGAGGCAAUCCUGAGAAGGAAAGCUACACAUUAAGGAUGAGGGAGCAGAAAAAUUAAAGAAUACCAGGUCCUGGGAGACAUUGUGGAGCCAACAUGCCUACCCUGCCUUUUGAAUGUCAAGUUAUAAGACAGUAAAAUACAUGUCUAUUAUAUUUGGUGGUGUCUGUCACCAAAAUCAAUCCCUAACUGACACAAGCGAUCAGAAAGAGUUAGAUCAGAAAGGAGGAAAUGUAAUUUUUUUUGGUAAAGUAAUAAUUGCACAAGCAUUUGCUAAAAUGAGAAGGAGGUUGCCAGAUAAAGUAAGGAAAGACCUUUCAUGCAGAGGGAACAGUAUGGUUAAAAUAUCAAGGAAACCACUUGAUCACUUUCUCCUGAAAAAAUAACAUAUAUUAGAGUGGCUUGGUGAGGUUACUUCAAAUUAUAUUUGAUGAUUCCAGAGGAAGAAAUAGUAGAACUUCAGGUAUGCUGAGAAAGGCAUCUACCAGCAAAUUCGCCAAUGUGCCUGGGUCUGUGCUGUCAGACAGCUCUCCACAGUUAAAUGAAUGAUUGCAGCAACAUCUUUUUCAAAAGUCGACAUACCCGGGGAUAAUACAGACCCAGAAAAGUCAUUUCCUCUGGAAAGAGUUCAAGGAGAUUGGAGGCUGACUGUGGUGAUGAACUGAUCUAUAAUUGUGACAGGCUAAUAUUGUCCCUGGGUGCUGCAACAGGCUUCAAGCAUGAAAGAGCUCAGGAAACAAUCUCUUUAAAAAAGAUGAAGCACAGAUAAUGGUUUUAUUUUGUCUGAACCAAAUAGGAAAUCACAUGCUAAACCCUUUCAAUCACUUUGCAAUGUCAUUACCCCACUCCAUCAACACUGCUCAUAACCUCUGACAGCUACAAGAAGACCUCCAUGAUGGCAUUUAUUUCAGGGAAAUGGAUGUAUCAGCUAUUUGUGUGACCUCGGAGAGGAAACAUUUGCAAGCUGGGAAGUGUCCACAGAAGCCGUUCUUCUUGGUGGCUGUGGAGGAGUGAAGUCGACACUUUGUUGCUGGAAUCGGAUCCUUUUUGAAAAUAGAUGUAUGGAAGAAAAUGCCACCCCACUCUCUCCUUACCACCUCUUCUCUAUUCAAGUUUUCCCUAGCAUCAUGAUAAACAUCUCUCUCGAAAAUAAGCAAACAAAGAAAUGGGGCUGCGUACUCCAUUCUGGAACUUUCA